rnacentral:hammerhead_ribozyme from 1 species
AUCCAGCUAACGAGUUUGAAAAUGAGACGAAACGCGCGUCCUGUAU